rnacentral:tRNA from 1 species
GGACGUAUAGCUCAGUUGGUAGAGCAGCUGACUCUUAAUCAGCGGGUCCCAGGUUCGAGCCCUGGUGCGUCCACCA